UGCGUAGGUGGCCCUGUAAGUCAGUGGUGAAAUAUCUCAGCUUAACUGAGAGGGUGCCAUUGAUACUGCAGGGCUUGAGUACAGAUGAGGUAGGCGGAAUUGACGGUGUAGCGGUGAAAUGCAUAGAUAUCGUCAAGAACACCGAUAGCGAAGGCAGCUUACCAAGCUGUAACUGACACUGAGGCACGAAAGUGUGGGGAUCAAACAGGAUUAGAUACCCUGGUAGUCCACACUGUAAACGUUGAUGACUCGAUGUUGGCGAUACACAGCCAGCGUCCAAGAGCAAUCGUUAAGUCAUCCACCUGGGGAGUACGCCGGCAACGGUGAA
rnacentral:rRNA from 1 species